rnacentral:rRNA from 1 species
CCUACGGGGGGCAGCAGUGGGGAAUCUUCCGCAAUGGGCGAAAGCCUGACGGAGCAACGCCGCGUGAGUGACGAAGGCCUUCGGGUUGUAAAACUCUGUCUUCAGGGAAGAAGAAAGUGACGGUACCUGAGGAGGAAGCCCCGGCUAACUACGUGCCAGCAGCCGCGGUAAAACGUAGGGGGCGAGCGUUGUCCGGAAUUACUGGGCGUAAAGGGCGCGCAGGCGGUCUGUUAAGUCAGAGGUGAAAACUCCCGGCUCAACCGGGGGACUGCCUUUGAAACUGGCGGACUUGAGGGCAGGAGAGGGAAGUGGAAUUCCCGGUGUAGUGGUGAAAUGCGUAGAUAUCGGGAGGAACACCAGUGGCGAAGGCGGCUUCCGGGCCUGCUCUUGACGCUGAGGCGCGAAAGCUGGGGGAGCGAACCGAAUUAGAUCCCCGGGUAGU